rnacentral:rRNA from 1 species
UACGUAGGUGGCAAGCGUUGUUCGGAUUUACUGGGCGUAAAGGGCGCGUAGGCGGCAGAUCAAGUCAGCUGUGAAAUCUCCGAGCUUAACUCGGAACUGUCAGCUGAUACUGUUUUGCUAGAGUGCGGAAGGGGCAAUCGGAAUUCUUGGUGUAGCGGUGAAAUGCGUAGAUAUCAAGAGGAACACCUGAGGUGAAGACGGGUUGCUGGGCCGACACUGACGCUGAGUGCGCGAAAGCCAGGGGAGCAAACGGG